CAGGCAUGGGAAGAUGGUAUCCCAAAACACAGGAAAGACCAUUCAAAAGAAAAAGUGACGGUCAAUGUUCAGGUUUCCACCUUCAUCAAAAACCUGAUGGACUUUGAGUGGCAUCUCAUUCAGUAAGUGCCACUUGGACUCUUGAAAACCAUUAAUAGUUCACAUUUUAAAACCCUGUUAA